rnacentral:rRNA from 1 species
CGGAACACGUACGCAACCUUCCUUUAACUGGAGAAUAGCCCCUCGAAAGAGGGAUUAAUACUCCGUAACAUAUAAAUGUGGCAUCACAAUUAUAUUAUAGCUCCGGCGGUUAAAGAUGGGCGUGCGCCUGAUUAGAUAGUUGGCGGGGUAACGGCCCACCAAGUCUGCGAUCAGUAACUGGUGUGAGAGCACGACCAGUCACACGGGCACUGAGACACGGCCCAG